AUUUGAAGGGUUUGAAUCCUAAACGUGAAGAAAUGUGCUUCACCCCUCCGCCCGCUGCCUUCCUCUCCACCACCCCCAGUCAUGUCGGGGAGCUCCGUGGCACAGAAGCCAAAACGCAUCGCUCAGAGCCCAUUGGUCCCACGUGCCAGGAUUCUCUUGGCUCAGUGCAACAAGGCCAGGCGUCCCAUGAAGCAACUUUAAAGCGUCGCCGGGAAGAGGAGAAAGAGGGGAGUUAGAGGAUGCGGCCCAUCUUCAUUCUGCAAGGGAAUCUGGUGGCCACAUGUAUCCCCAUCCUCUGGCUUGAUGAUGAUGAUGAAAGAUGUCAUGCUAGGAAGCUCUGGAGAUCAGAGACACGCGGACCACAUACCGGCAUUUCAACACGAGAACACGGCUCCCAGCGCCUGCCGAACCUCGGAAUUUGCACCUUGUAACACUAGAAAUGGACAUCUGUAGACGAAAGAAAAACCCUCGUGUACACAGGGAUUUUAUGGAGCCGAGGGGGGCUCUUUCAUCCCUCCAACACUGCAAGGGCAGUCCUGCUGCCAACAGUUCCCUGUUGGAUAUGAAUUGCGAGUUCAGCCACGCUGGUGUGUGUGUGCAUGCCUACGUGCGUGGGUGCACACGCGCGUUGUUCGGGGAUUAGAGGUCUCUUCCAGGCUGAACAACAAAGGGUGGCACAUGGCAGCUAUUGUCCCCGCUCAGCCAGGGUGAAGUCGGGGGAGGUCACAGCUGUCCUGACCAUAUUUAGCUCUCAGAACAGGAUUAAUUUAGUUUAGCUUUUUCUUUUCUUUCCUUUUCUUUCUUUUUGUUCUUUAUUUUUUUCCUCUCCGAGGAAUAAAUUGCUGGCUGGUUAGCAAGAAUGCAAGUCACAAGUUUCGGGACCAAUGCGGUGGUUGCUCAUCCCAUUGAAAGCCUCAGAAACUGGCUCUGUCUCAGGAAAAGGGGAACCACACGGUGUCCUCCUGGGCAGUCUGGCUCGCCAGUCGUGGUUGAUAAUCACAGAACCAGAGAAUCCUUUGAGUUGGAAGGGACCCUUAAAGACUAUCUGCCCCAACCCCCCUGCAAUGAACAGGGACACCCACCCCAUUUCAAACUGGAUGUGUCUGCAGGGAUGGGGCAUCCUCCUCCUCUCUGGUGGAGAUAAUCAGAGAGCCAUUUCACACAAAGUCAUGGAACUUGGGUUGGACCCAAGCAAUCACAGCUAUCUUCUCCCGACCUGCUUCCAAACAAUUCCUCCUAUGCAAAUCUGCACUUCUAAUGAAAAUAAAAGGGAAGGAGAAAAAAGCCCCAACCCAGAGACCCUCCUUCUCCUUGCCAGAUGAGCUGUUCCUCAGAAACACCUGUCUGCUAAAUUAGAGUGGGAAUUGUGAACGCCAAGCACAGCAUAUUUUCCUUCGCCACUAAUAUAUUGGAGUUGCAUAUGGUGCCCUUGGGGAAAGGCAAUUGUUUCAAGUCAGAUUUUCAAAUCAUGAGCAAAUCCUAGGGAGAGAGAUUUGCUGAUUUACAGUGGACCUUGAGUACAUAUCACUGGGCUGUGUCUCGGAUGGGGAAAACACAGAACAGGAGCUGAAGGGACAGUGAGGACAUGCUGUGUGAUGACACCACACGAGGGUGCAGGGAGCAAAGCCAGAGGAGUGCUUUAGCUGUGCAGAAAUUGCUAUUCCUGGUGCAAAAGAAAGGGAAAUAGCAGAGAGAAGAGAGAGGUGCACAGGGGCUGCGUCCCAUCCCAGCCAUGCAGAGGGGAGUGAGGGUCCUCCUGACAGCCCUGGGGAUGGGAAUUCCUGCACAGCAGCCAUGCAGGGACACAUAGAGGCACGAUGACUUUCGGAUCGCUUCAGAAUACAUAUUAAUGCAAAUGAGAGGUAUCUAGCUAAGCGUUUUGUCAUUUGGUCCCUCCAUAGCUGGAAGAAGGGAUUGCUUCAGAUUUAUGUGCUACGUGUUGUUUUUCUUGGCAGCGCGGAGUGGCGAGGUCUCAAAAGGCUUGCAAUUUUAGGGAUACUUUCUGAUACUUAAAGAGAGACUUCUGGCUGGAGUCCACCAACUGCCUAUAGCCACAGAUACUAAAACUCCUUUCCAAUGACUGCCACUAAUCACGCAACACUUUUAUGCUUAACAUCUUGCCCUGGAGUUGACCCAGGAACUAAUGGGUCCGAUCCUUGAAUGGUUCUCCAAGUAGUGGUGCAUGGAUGAGCCCAGCAAGACCAGAGCAGCCUUUUGGGCUGCUGCAUCUAACAAACACUGCUGGGGUUCAUUGGGGAAAAAAAAACAGUGUAUAUAUAAUAUAUAUGCAUACAUACAUAUAUUAUGUAUAUAUAUGCAUAUAAUAUAAAAACAUGUUGGUUGAACCUGGCUCUGUGCAAAUGCUGGCACACAGAUGAGGCAUGAAAUGAGCCAGUUAAGAGCCCGUGAUGAGAAAAUGAGUUGUCUUUUUGUUUUGUUUUCUGGAAAUCAGUGAAGCCCAUCUGGGAGUCAAAGGGAACAAAUGAAAGGCAUGUGGGAAUGAUAGCAAGAGAGCCAAGGUUGAGAGGAAUGGAAAGAAGGGCAGGUGCAGUGAAGGCACUAGGCUUAUCAUCAACGUCAUCACCAAAAAAUGGUUCAAUGGAUUAUUUUUUAGAUUUCAGCCUGUUCAUAAAAACAGGUCUAACACUUUGUAUGUCAAGUUCAUACAUUCAUUCCCCAGCUGAAGCCACCAAAGAGAAGGAAGGAAUGUGGAUGCUGCUCCCACCUGUCCCCUGCUGUGGGGAGCAAAGCGGCGCUGCUCGGCUCUGUAGGUUCGUUACCGAUCCCACUAAUUUUAUUUCUGAUUAUUUAUGUUUUUUCAUGAGCAGCCAUUAAAUGUUCAUUUGUUAAAGGCUUAACACAUUCCAUUACACCACAAAAUUUAUAUUUGUAACAAAACGAUGUCUCAGAGUGAUUCAGAAUUAAAUUAAUGUGACACGGACUAUUUAUCAAUAUGGCAGCUUGGCUGCUCAGGAACAAGGAAUGAUUUAGGAGCAUGUAUGUGUGCAAACCUAUGGGCUCUGCCCUGGUAUUUCUCUCUUACUGUACAGGAACUGAUAAAUAAUCCUCCAAAGUACCUCAACAUAUGGUUUAGAUCAUCAAAGAGAAAAAUACUUGUAAAAGCACAAAGAAGGAAACCAAUAAACAUGUACAUCUUACCAGUUCACUCCCUUCGUAGGAAAUGUAAAGCAUGAGGGAUGGUGGGUUUUGAGUCAAAUUCAGUCCUUUGUGUAUUUUUUUUUAAUUAUGGUAACAUAUUGGCUUGAAUCACAGUGUGGCCAUUCCAGCAAUGGGCAUGUAGGGCGGAGGGCAGAAGCUGAUGGAUCUGCAGGGCUGGGCUGACUUCAGGCACUGCCCCUCUGAACCUGAGCAGUUUUGUCACUAUUCCAGGCCUUGCUGGUUUUGUUUCUGUUUUAUUUAUUUUUAUUUUUAUUUUUAUUUUCUGCUAAAAGAAGAAAUAUUUGUUGUAGGGCUAACUAUCACAGCCUUUUUUUUUAAAGUAACCAUGGUUUCCUUGUGUGUCAUAUUUAACAUUUCUUUUUAGAGAGGAGCAAGGAUAAAAUCAUAGAAUCAUAGAAUCACAGAAUGGCCUGGGCUGCAAAGGACCACAAUGCUCAUCCAGUCCCAACCCCCUGCUGUGUGCAGGGUCGCCAACCAGCAGCCCAGGCUGCCCAGAGCCACAUCCAGCACACAUUUUGGUAGAUUUGCAUCAACACUUACUAUGAUGUUCUAUCAAUAUCCUACUUUAUUAACGGAAGUCUCCGUUCCAAAUGUUUAUGUAUUUGGGAUUUUCACUCCCGUAUACCAGAGCUUAAGCAAUGAUGGCACUCGGGUUGGACAACGUUGAGAUUAUUCCUUAAAAAUAUGUACACUUUUGCUACCUGGUAUUUAGACUGCAACCUAUUUUCGGGUAUAUACUUAUGUAAAAAUAAAUUUCUCUCUGCAUUUCCUUGCAAAUUCCAGCAUUAAAAUAAAACAGUGAAUGUCUGCAGUGAAUGGGCACUGGGACACUACAAUUAGUGAACUCGAAUUAAUAAUUUCC
ensembl:lncRNA